AUCAUACCACACUGCACCCGAAGAGGAGGAAAUGGUAUUAGGCGAGGGGACCGUAGUCCUGCCAGAGCCAACAUAAAAUGCGAAGGGCGCUGCAGACAGCGCUCUCGACCAUGCGACCACUAGCACAGGGAAACAAUGCCGCGGAAGGACAAAUGGGUACGUAUCUAGGAACCACGAACACUCCCCGGGCGGAAGGGCCAACGAAAUGAAUGAGUACCACCCAGCUCUGUGCCGUAGCGAACAGUAGAGCCCGUCUACUUAAAUAUAAGGUAUUAAUUUGAAUCCAUUGGGCAU